rnacentral:rRNA from 1 species
UACGUAGGGUGCAAGCGUUACUUGGAAUUACUGGGCGUAAAGCGUGCGCAGGCGGUUUUGUAAGUCUGUCGUGAAAUCCCCGGGCUCAACCUGGGAAUUGCGAUGGAGACUGCAAGGCUAGAAUCUGGCAGAGGGGGGUAGAAUUCCACGUGUAGCAGUGAAAUGCGUAGAGAUGUGGAGGAACACCGAUGGCGAAGGCAGCCCCCUGGGUCAAGAUUGACGCUCAUGCACGAAAGCGUGGGGAGCAAACAGG